UACGGAGGGGGCUAGCGUUGUUCGGAAUUACUGGGCGUAAAGCGCGCGUAGGCGGACCUGCAAGUCGGGGGUGAAAGCCCGAGGCUCAACCUCGGAACUGCCUUCGAUACUGCGGGUCUCGAGUCCGGGAGAGGUGAGUGGAAUUCCUAGUGUAGAGGUGAAAUUCGUAGAUAUUGGGAAGAACACCGGUGGCGAAGGCGGCGCUCUGGACCGAGACUGACGCUGAGGCGCGAAAGCGUGGGGAGCGAACAGG
rnacentral:rRNA from 1 species